CCUACGGGAGGCAGCAGUGGGGGAUAUUGCACAAUGGGGGAAACCCUGAUGCAGCGACGCCGCGUGUGGGAAGACGGUCCUCUGGAUUGUAAACCACUGUCCCCAGGGACGAAGAUGACGGUACCUGGGGAGGAAGCUCCGGCUAACUACGUGCCAGCAGCCGCGGUAAAACGUAGGGAGCGAGCGUUGUCCGGAAUUACUGGGGGAAAAGGGAGCGUAGGCGGGAGUGAAAGUUGGGUGUCAAAUCUACCGGCUCAACCGGUAGCAGCACUCAAAACUGCAGGUCUUGAGUGAAGUAGAGGCAGGCGGAAUGCAUGGUGUAGCGGUGAAAUGCGUAGAUAUUAGGAGGAACACCAGUGGCGAGGGCGGCCUGCUGGGCGUUUACUGACGCUGAGGCUCGAAAGUGUGGGGAGCAAACAGGAUUAGAUACCCCAGUAGUC
rnacentral:rRNA from 1 species